rfam:Purpureocillium lilacinum isolate PLFJ-1 scaffold00006, whole genome shotgun sequence.
GCCCUUAUAGCUCAGUGGUAGAGCGCAUCACUCGUACCAGAUGUGAUAUGAUGAGGUCCGCUGUUCGAUCCAGCGUGGGGGCA